CUCUGUGACUCCUACGGGAGGCAGCAGUGGGGAAUAUUGCACAAUGGGCGCAAGCCUGAUGCAGCCAUGCCGCGUGUAUGAAGAAGGCCUUCGGGUUGUAAAGUACUUUCAGCAGUGAGGAAGGCGGAGUCGUUAAUAGCGGCCUCGUUUGACGUUAGCUGCAGAAGAAGCACCGGCUAACUCCGUGCCAGCAGCCGCGGUAAUACGGAGGGUGCGAGCGUUAAUCGGAAUUACUGGGCGUAAAGCGCAUGCAGGUGGUUUGUUAAGUCAGAUGUGAAAGCCCGGGGCUCAACCUCGGAAUUGCAUUUGAAACUGGCAGACUAGAGUACUGUAGAGGGGGGUAGAAUUUCAGGUGUAGCGGUGAAAUGCGUAGAGAUCUGAAGGAAUACCGGUGGCGAAGGCGGCCCCCUGGACAGAUACUGACACUCAGAUGCGAAAGCGUGGGGAGCAAACAGGAUUAGAUACCCUGGUAG
rnacentral:rRNA from 1 species